rnacentral:rRNA from 1 species
AUUGAACGCUGGCGGCAGGCCUAACACAUGCAAGUCGAGCGAGCGGCGGACGGGUGAGUAAUGUAUGGGGACUGCCCGAUAGAGGGGGAUAACUACUGGAAACGGUGGCUAAUACCGCAUACUAUCGGAUAACCCAUAUGGGAUUAGCUAGUGGGGGGGGUAAAGGCUCACCUAGGCGACGAUCUCUAGCUGGUCUGAGAGGAUGAUCAGCAAAAUGGGGAUGGAGACAAGGCCCAGACUCCUAGGGAGGAAGCAGGGGGGAAGAGGGAACAAGGGGGGAAAGCCGGAUGCAGCCAGGCCGCGUGUAGGAAGAAGGCCUUAGGGUGGAAAAGUACUUUAAGCGGGGAGGCGUGACCCGCAGAAGAAGCACCGGCUAACUCCGUGCCAGAAGCCGCGUAAUUC